rnacentral:rRNA from 1 species
ACGGGAGCUUGCUCCCGGAUGUUAGCGGCGGACGGGUGAGUAACACGUGGGUAACCUGCCUGUAAGACUGGGAUAACUCCGGGAAACCGGAGCUAAUACCGGAUAGUUCCUUGAACCGCAUGGUUCAAGGAUGAAAGACGGUUUCGGCUGUCACUUACAGAUGGACCCGCGGCGCAUUAGCUAGUUGGUGGGGUAAUGGCUCACCAAGGCGACGAUGCGUAGCCGACCUGAGAGGGUGAUCGGCCACACUGGGACUGAGACACGGCCCAGACUCCUACGGGAGGCAGCAGUAGGGAAUCUUCCGCAAUGGACGAAAGUCUGACGGAGCAACGCCGCGUGAGUGAUGAAGGUUUUCGGAUCGUAAAGCUCUGUUGUUAGGGAAGAACAAGUGCGAGAGUAACUGCUCGCACCUUGACGGUACCUAACCAGAAAGCCACGGCUAACUACGUGCCAGCAGCCGCGGUAAUACGUAGGUGGCAAGCGUUGUCCGGAAUUAUUGGGCGUAAAGGGCUCGCAGGCGGUUUCUUAAGUCUGAUGUGAAAGCCCCCGGCUCAACCGGGGAGGGUCAUUGGAAACUGGGAAACUUGAGUGCAGAAGAGGAGAGUGGAAUUCCACGUGUAGCGGUGAAAUGCGUAGAGAUGUGGAGGAACACCAGUGGCGAAGGCGACUCUCUGGUCUGUAACUGACGCUGAGGAGCGAAAGCGUGGGGAGCGAACAGGAUUAGAUACCCUGGUAGUCCACGCCGUAAACGAUGAGUGCUAAGUGUUAGGGGGUUUCCGCCCCCUUAGUG